rnacentral:rRNA from 1 species
GAUGAACGCUAGCGGGAGGCUUAACACAUGCAAGUCGAGGGGCAGCACGCCUUCGGAUGGUGGCGACCGGCGCACGGGUGCGUAACGCGUAUGCAACUUACCUUAUGCAGGGGGAUAGCCCGGGGAAACCCGGAUUAAUAUUCCAUAGAUCAGUAGUAUCGCAUGGUACAAUUGGUAAAGAUUUAUCGGCAUAAGAUAGGCAUGCGUCUGAUUAGCUAGUUGGUAGGGUAACGGCCUACCAAGGCGACGAUCAGUAGGGGUUCUGAGAGGAUAAUCCCCCACACUGGUACUGAGACACGGACCAGACUCCUACGGGAGGCAGCAGUGAGGAAUAUUGGUCAAUGGGCGCAAGCCUGAACCAGCCAUCCCGCGUGAAGGAAGAAGGCCUUAUGGGUUGUAAAGCUCUUUCGUCCGGGAAGAAAUCGCAUUGGUUAAUACCUGAUGUGGAUGACGGUACCGGAAUAAGAAGCACCGGCUAACUACGUGCCAGCAGCCGCAGUAACAC